GCCGCCGCCACACUCUUUCUCGGGAUCCCUCCCGAUCCAAACCCACCAAUCACCAGACCUCUCUCGAUCCCCUCUGCCCGAGCUCCUCCUGCAGCUCCCCAUCGCCCUCGACCCUGCCUCGUCGUCUGGCCGACACCGGCGACCGAAACCUCGCCGGAGAUGAGUGCCUUGACAGCCCCGCUCCUUUUUCCCUCCUGCUUCUCAACCUCUCCUUCUAACGAUCUUCCCUUACCUUUCUCUAUUUUCUCUCAUAGGGAUCCAUGGCGCUGCCGCUUGGAGCUCUGCCUCCUUCGGCCACCUCCUUGCCUCGUCGCCAUCGACCUGCAGAGGGACACGCCAUGGCCACCCUCGUCUUCAAGUCGCGUCGCCCGCGCCCAGAUUUGGCGCCCUCAGCAUGCCCAUGCAUGGGUUCCGCGCAUCCCCGACCUCUCCUGCAACCCUUUAUCAAACUCCAUGGGCAGGCUCCCAUGUUCGACUCUUUGCGCCGCCCCGUUUGACCUCCAGUUCCAGUCCCUCGUCGCCACCGCAUCGCCAGGCGCCUCGUCAUCGGGGAGCACCCCAACACUGUUGUUGAGUUGCAGCAACCUUCGAGUUUGAGCAGCCACCUCCUGCACGGAUCGAGGACCUCCUGUUGCUCGGAUCUGGACGCCGCUGAGCUCCCGCGUCGGAUCGGACUCCUCCGCACAUCCCCGACCUCUGGCCUCGCCGUGCCGUCCCCGUGCAGGUUCCUGCCUCUGCCUCAUCCUCGUCCGAGCAGAGGACGACUGCUUCUUCAUCGCGCGCAAGGGCUGCAGCCGCGGCAAGGCCCAGCCAGCGUCUCUGCCAGCAGCCUUGCGUCCCCCCAACUGGGCCUCAGCCCACUAGCUUCGGUUUCGUUCCGGAGUUGUGAGGAUCCGUUCAUCUACGUCCAUUUGUCUUCUUCAUGGACUCGUUCUUCUUCCUUGCGGGAUUUCAGGCAAGAU